rnacentral:rRNA from 1 species
UACGUAGGCAGCAAGCGUUGUUCGGAGUUACUGGGCGUAAAGUGUGUGUAGGCGGUUGUUUAAGUUUGGUGUGAAAUCUCCCGGCUCAACUGGGAGGGUGCGCCGAAUACUGAAUGACUAGAGUGCGGGAGAGGAAAGUGGAAUUCCUGGUGUAGCGGUGAAAUGCGUAGAUAUCAGGAGGAACACCGGUGGUGUAGACGGCUUUCUGGACCGUAACUGACGCUGAAACACGAAAGCGUGGGUAGCAAACGGG